rnacentral:misc_RNA from 1 species
CAUAGUGCGAGCCAGGUUUAGGUGCGUCCGUCAUGUACGACUUACUCUACAAUCAGCCUCAGAAAUUAAUGCUAUUAGCAGGAUGUAGUACGGUUUGCACAACCGUUGCCGAAGCGGCGAAAAUGUGGAAUCUAGUUGUCCUCUGUUACGGUGCCUCAUCUCCAGCAUUAUCCGAUAGAAAUAGAUUUCCGACUCUCUUUCGGACUCAUCCCUCAGCUACGGUGCACAACCCCACAAGGAUAAAAUUGUUGCAAAAGUUUGGCUGGUCUCGCGUAGCCAUUUUACAGCAAGCCGAAGAAGUGUUCAUAUCUACCGUGGAGGACCUAGAAGCUCGUUGCAAGGAAGCUGGAAUCGAAAUAGUAACGCGCCAGAGUUUUCUUUCCGACCCUUCGGACGCAGUCAGGAACUUACGUCGUCAAGAUGCCAGAAUAAUCGUGGGCCUCUUCUACGUGGUUGCUGCAAGACGCGUUCUUUGCGAACUUUACCAUCAGAACCUUUAUGGCAAGAGUUACGUAUGGUUCUUUAUCGGCUGGUACGAGGACAACUGGUUCGAGGUCAACCUCGACAAGGAGGGCAUCACCUGCACCAAGGAACAAAUGCGACAAGCUGCAGAAGGUCAUCUAACCACCGAAGCUCUUAUGUGGAACCAGAACAACGAGACAACGAUAAGCGGAAUGACCUCGGAAGAUUUUAGGCAGAGGUUGAACAAAAUGCUGAAAGAGGAUGGUUACGAUAUCGACAACAACAGAUAUCCUGAAGGCUACCAGGAAGCUCCGCUGGCAUACGAUGCCGUGUGGUCCGUGGCUCUGGCGUUUAAUAAAACAAUGGAGAAGCUUAGUAAAUCCGGCAAAAGCUUGAAGAACUUCACGUACACGGACAAGGAGAUCGCGGAUGAGAUUUAUUCGGCUAUAAAUUCGACGCAAUUUCUUGGCGUAUCCGGUUACGUGGCUUUCAGUUCCCAAGGUGAUCGAAUCGCCUUAACGCAGAUCGAACAGGUGAUAGACGGGAAGUAUGUAAAGUUGGGAUACUACGACACACAGAGUGACAACCUGACCUGGCACAAUAUGGAGCGUUGGAUCGGAGGCAAGGUUCCACAAGACAGGACGAUAGUGAAGAAAGUUUUAAGAACGGUGUCCCUGCCACUCUUCAUAUCCAUGUGCACCUUAUCAUCGGUGGGUAUCGUGAUAGCGAUGGCGCUAAUUGUGUUCAACAUCUGGAACAGGCAUCGAAGGGUCAUCCUUUCAUCCCAUCCAGUAUGCAACACGAUCAUGUUGGUGGGAGUGAUAGCUUGCCUCGUGUCUGUAUUUUUACUGGGAAUGGACGGCAGAUUCGUGUCUCCAUGGGAAUACCCUGGAGUAUGUCAGGCAAGGGCCUGGAUAUUGUCCACAGGAUUCACCCUUGCAUUUGGCGCAAUGUUCAGCAAAGUUUGGCGAGUACACCGAUUGACGACAAAGACGAAAGCCGACCAGGCCAAAUUAUACAUGGCCAAACAGAAGGUGUCUUCUGUGCAGAAGAAGGUCCAGCCUUGGAAACUGUAUACGAUGGUCAGUGCCCUGUUAGCUAUCGAUGUCGUUAUCCUCGGCAUUUGGCAAGGGCUAGAUCCACUGCAGAGAACGAUCGAAGUCUUUCCUUUGGAGUCGCCACCUUUCGGAGACGACGAUGCUCGCAUCAGACCCGAAUUGGAGCAUUGCGAGAGCGAACACAAUGGCAUGUGGCUUGGACUAGUAUACGGCUACAAAGGGGUGGUCUUGGUCUUCGGUCUAUUUUUGGCAUACGAGACCAGGAGCAUCAAGGUGAAACAAAUUAACGAUUCGAGAUACGUUGGCAUGUCAAUUUACAAUGUGGUCGUGCUUUGUCUGAUCACUGCUCCAGUGACCAUGGUCAUUGCCAGCCAGCAAGAUGCCAGCUUCGCAUUUGUCGCGUUAGUCAUCGUGUUUUGCUGUUUUCUGAGUAUGGCUCUAAUUUUCGUACCUAAAGUCAUCGAAGUCAUUAGACAUCCGAAAGACAAAGCCGAGUCUAAGUACAACCCAGACGUAGGAAUCUCCAAAGAGGACGAAGAACGGUAUCAGAAACUUUUGAGCGAAAACGACGAGCUGGUGAAACUUAUCUCAGCGAAGGAGGAAAAGAUCAGGGCACUGAAACAGAAAGUUGCUGAACGGGACGCAUUAAGAGGAGGAGGAAACAUCCCUAAGGAUUCUCUGAUAGUUGCCGAUUUCGUCACGGGAGAAGGAACUUCAGACAGCGCUAUCGAGACGGACCACGUCGGCUGACCGAAGGACCGCAACGAUCGGGCGAAAAAGCAAUAUAAGCUAACGGGCUAAAACAGCUUUCGAGGAAGCUACCUUCUAAAACUACCGUAAACUAUUAACAGCCACUGUCACGCCAUUCGUUUUAGGUAGAAACUUGCAGCUCCGUGGAAAUGUAAUCAUUCAACGAGGAGGUCGAAUGUGCGCGCGGAAGUACUCGAUGUACCUACUCGAGUACCCGUACUGAAAUGUCGUACGAUAAAUAAGGUGUAAUGUCCUUUCCUGUUUUUCUUAUCUUCAAUUUUCAACGGCAAAUGAGAGAAUUGUCAACGUAUUAACGGGAUUUGACUGCAAUUCGACGAUCGUAAACGUAGCCUGCGUGUGUCUGUCGUGUAGACUCAGACGAUUCCUCGUCUUUAAAAGGAUAUUCAUUUACAUAACGUCAAACAUCCGUAUGUGGAAUAUCCAGGGAGUUCAUGGCGUAAUCCGCAAACGGUACGUUGCGCGACGUAAUAUCACAGAAGUAUUAUCGAAAUGUUGAUGGAAGCAUCUUAUAUGUACGUUAGGAAAUGGAGAUAUUUAUUUAAGUUUUUGUAAAUUAUAAAAUUCAUUCAAGAUUGAGACGACCCGGUCCUUUUACCGCCCGAC